AAAACAGGUUAAUUCAUCAUAUAUAUUUAAAGUAUGUUCACUUUCUUAAAGUCACUGUCUUUGUUGUCGACCAUUAAACUCUUUUUUUUUUUUUUUUCUCUCCAAUAACGUCACCGCCUCUGUUUCUGGGCCUUUCUGCUGUCCGUGUGGGGAGAUAUUUUUUGGAAACGGAACAAAAUUGAACUGUGAAGUGAACACCUGGGAUUAUCAGAUGGACUAUACAAUUUUGUUUUGGUUGUGUGUAGCUUUGAGUGUAAGUCUGAUUCCUAUGGCUGUCCUCAUUUGCUGCAUGAAGACCUGUGAUUGUUGCAAUGGCCCUGUAACUGAACAGCAAAAUCAGCAUCUGUUUAAUUUGCAGCCUGCAGUUCAGCCAAAUAUAGUCACUUCUUGAUUGUGCCAAGGAGUGAAGAAUUUUCAUUUCAAAAUCUGAUAAUUCUGUUUUAAUAAUUUCUGCCUCUAAUAAAC
ensembl:lncRNA